rnacentral:rRNA from 1 species
GAUGAACGCUGGCGGCGUGCCUAAUACAUGCAAGUCGAGCGAACGGACGAGAAGCUUGCUUCUCUGAUGUUAGCGGCGGACGGGUGAGUAACACGUGGAUAACCUACCUAUAAGACUGGGAUAACUUCGGGAAACCGUAGCUAAUACCGGAUAAUAUUUUGAACCGCAUGGUUCAAAAGUGAAAGACGGUCUUGCUGUCACUUAUAGAUGGAUCCGCGCUGCAUUAGCUAGUUGGUAAGGUCACGGCUUACCAAGGCAACGAUGCAUAGCCGACCUGAGAGGGGGAUAGGCCACACGGGAGGUGAGACACGGUCCAGACUCCUACGGGAGGCAGCAGUAGGGAAUCUUCCGCAAUGGGCGAAAGCCUGACGGAGCAACGCCGCGUGAGUGAUGAAGGUCUUCGGAUCGUAAAACUCUGUUAUUAGGGAAGAACAUAUGUGUAAGUAACUGUGCACAGCGUGACGGUACCUAAUCAGAAAGCCACGGCUAACUACGUG